AAGGUGGACGUGGAGGACGGGACGGCAAGAACGGUGUUGCUGAACGAGGAUUUGGAUGUAGCCGACGGGAUUGCAAUACGAAGAGACGGUGUCGUUUUAGUUGUGACCCCAGUUAAGGCUAAGCUAUGGUUCUUGAAAAGCGACGAUAGUUGGGGAGAGGGAGUAAUUUAUGACAAAACUGACCUUGAUGCUGAGAGAUUCCCCACUUCAGUAACAGUGGGAAGAGAGGAUAGGGCAUACGUGAUAUACGGAAGAGCGAUUGAGGGUAUAAUGGGAAAUGAGGAGAGGGAGUGGUUUGAUAUAGAGGAAGUGAAGUCAGAAAGGGAGAGUAAAGAGGAUAACGUAUGGAUUUUCGUGUUGCUUGGAUUGGGUUUGGCUUAUUUCUUGUUCUGGAGGUUUCAGAUGAAGCAACUUGUGAAAAAUAUAGAUAAAAAAACCAAUUAAAUGUUGCCACGUAAUCUUUUUUAUAAAUUUUAGAAUGUACACUCUUUUAGAAACUCUUAAGGUUGUUCUUGCAAUUUUUACAUUUAUGUUUUAAGAAAUAUAUUUCACAUCCAGGUGUCUAAAUUGAAUAUGUUGGAUAUCUCCAGUUGGAAAAAAAAUCGUCUCCUCUUUAUUUCAAAGAAUUAUUAUAAGUUUCUUAUGCAAAAUUACAUGAUUUGAGAUAUAAUUAUUCGGCCAUAAUCUUCGCAUUUUGGUCUCUUCAAGUUAGGACGGAGUUGAGAACUUUUCUCUAUUGUGUCUCCACGAUAUUUUAUUCGUUAUUUCACAAUGAUCCUCAUGAAAUCUCAAUUUUUCAUUAACAUAAAAGUCUCUCAUCAUAUCAUGUUUUUUAAAAAUAAAAAAUUCAUAAUAAAAUUCUACAAACGAUAACACCAGUCCAAGAUUUUACUACAAUAUUACUAAGUUAUUGUUGAAUCCCACAUCGGUUGUAUAAAAGGGUAAUGUGCCCUUAUAUGGGUCAUAAACACUCCUCCCCCUUGAACUAGCUUUUAGGGUGAGUUAUGCCUGACUCAAAUUUAACAUGGUAUCAGAGCCUCCCAUCCGAUGUUGGGCGCGCACACCAGUAAAAAAUUCUGGGCGUGAGUAGGUGUAUUGAAUCCACAUCGAUUGGGUAAGUUAAGCCUGACCCAAAUUUAACAACUAUUAUAGCAUUAUAUUUAGAUUUUAAACAUAUAGCAACAUAAAUAUUUACUUUGAUGAGAUUGAUCAGUGGGGGCUACCAUGCAACGAGAGGAGGGUAGAAUUUACUUAGACAAAAUCUUCUUGUGCUUGGUUAGCUAAAUCAACUAGGACAUCAAAAGGUUUGGUUUUUGGGUGAGUAGAAGAGCGUAAAGUAGGAAUUACGACAAAAAUUAAUUUUAUUGAGAUGUUUAUGAAAUGAAAUAAGGAGUAUAUGAUAAAUAAAUAACUAUAAAUGAAAAUAUUCAUUUUAAUAAAUUUUAAAACCCUUCUAAUAUAAGGUUGAGUUUCAAUUCUUAAAUAUGAAAUUUUUUUUUAUAAAAGUAUUUAGUAGUUUAAUUAAUUUUUUAUUUUAAAGUGCCAUUAAAAAAAUGAUGUAAAUUUUUUAUCUGAUUAAGAUAUGUGUUCAUGAUCUGAUCGGUCUUAUUAAUCAAGCAGAGUCAAUUUCGAUACAGACCAGUAGGCCGGACAUACCUUAGAAAACCAAAAUAUAAGGCUAACCCUAUAGGCUCGUCAAUUUCUUUGAAUAUUUUUGAAAUUAUAAAUACACGUACAAUAAAUUAGAUUGAUGUGAAUAGACAGAGUAUGAAUUAGUAGAUUCCGCUUUUAUUAGCCGAUUAUUCACCAUUAAUAAACUGUUUGACAUUGAGGGUAUAUAUAUCAUUCUAGUAAAACGACACCGUUUAUUAUGAAUUUAAACGGCCUGCAAAUAGAGUAUCAAAACAACCAAGAGGUUAUAUAUGCCAUUCUAAUAUAAGGUUGAGUUUCCAAUGAUAGUACUCUUAAAUAUGAAAUGUAUUUUUCAUGUAAACGUAGCUAGUUUUAUUAAUUUUUCAUUUUAAGAUGUCAUUAGAAAAACUUAUGUGAAAAAUCAUAAAUGAUAACAUAUAAAAUAUAAGAUUCCUCUUCGAUCAAUACACAUUUACAUGGUUCGAUCGGUCUUAUUAACUGAGUAGAGCCUAUCUCGAUACAAACCAAGUAGACUGAAUACGAUUUUAGAAAAUUAGGAUACAAAGCCGACCCCUGCAGGUCGGUCAUCUCUUCGAAAUAUCUUCGAGAUUAUAAAUAUGUGUAUGGUAAAUUAAACUGAUGUAACGCGUGUGAUAGACAGGAUAUAUACUAAACGGCUCUAUAUUUUUUAGUCAAUUACUCACCAUUAAUGAGUUAUUUGACACUUUUACAAUAAAACAUCCUUAUUCAAUCCGAUGGAAAAUGAUGUAGAAAUGUUCGAACGAAUAAGGGUAUAUAUGCCAGCCGUCUAACUCAAAGUCAGAAAAUUUUUCUAACUUUCAUUAAAUUCAUCAUAUUUGCUUUCUCUCAAGAAACCUUAACAUCUCUAAACUCAUAUUUGAUAUAUUUAUUUUCGGCAUUUACUUCACUUCGGACCAAUCUCUCAGCUUAUUGAUUUCCCAUUAAAUCAAACCAACAUCCAGGUGUCUUAAUCUCGGAAUCCCUCCGAUCUCAGUUAUCAAUAAAAUAUUAUUUUAAUAUAAAUUAAAACAUAAAUCUCAAAAUAAAAAAUAAAUAAAAUUAUAUGAUUUUUUUUAAUUUUUUCCUUAAAAACAUUUAAAAAAAUAUUAAUUAAUAAUUAUAUUUUAUUUAUUGUAUUAACAUUUUCUAACCAUAUUUAAAAAAUAUAAUAAUUUACUAAUAACAUGAUAUCAUAAAAUAUUAUUUUGAAUUACGUGUUUUAAAAUAAAAAUAAGUGAAUUACAUUAUUUUCUUUUUUAUCUUUUCUUAAAUUUACAACAUAUUUUCAGCAUCUUGAAUUUUUAGAAAAGCCCAUAACAUGCCCCAAACUAUCUAAAACUAAAACUAAAACGAUUUUGCAAAUUCAAUUAGCAAGUAAUGUUAAUAAUGUAUUAUUGAACUAGUUUCGAUAUAAGGAGAGGAAAUUUUUUAGGUGUAAAAUUAUGAAAUGAAUUUCAAUUGGAGAUAUUAUACAUCACAUUGAUUGCUAAUAAUAAAUUUAAGCAUUAAUUUGAAACUUAUAAAUAUAUCUCAAUGUUUUUACUUUUUUUUUUUUUUUUGAAAUAAGGUGUUGGGGGAGUCGAAUUUUAGACCUUUCAAGACUGCAGGAUACACUUUCCACCAGAUUAAGAAUUGGAGUGCCAAUGUUUUUUUUACUGUUUACACUACUUUAUAUAAGAAUUAUAAUAUUAUUUUUAAAUAAUUUAGAUGUAUUAUGAGAUGUUUUAUAGUUUAAAAUAUUAUAAAAAAAUUUUAUAAAAAAUUUUGUAUUUAGGUUUUAUUUAAUCUAAUGUAUAUAUGUUUAAUUGCUCUUCAAGGAACGAAUUGACCAUUGUUCUAAUUUCAAUUUUAUAAACCCUAAAAAACUAAGAAUUAACAUGUCAGCGCCAAGGAGUACUAGCUGCGCCGUCUACUUCCGCAAACCAAAUAUUGCAAAAGCCAUGUCUCUACUCACAUUGUUCAUCUUCUUCCUUUUCGCGGGUGUCGUUCCUUCGAUUGCCGGAAAGUCUCACGUCAUCCAUUUCCGAACCCCUAAUCUCUAUCCAGAGGGCCUUUCCUACGACCCAUCGGCUCAACACUUCAUCGUUGGCUCCCUUCGCGACCGCACUAUCCACGCCGUAUCCGAUGCUGGAGUCGUCGAAACCCUCAUCUCCGAUCCUUCCCUCCCUCCAAACACCAGCUUUGCGGGUCUGGCAGUAGAUUCGGUCAAUAACCGUCUUCUUGCGGUUAUCCACUCCUUGGCCCCACUCGCUCCCUUCAAUGCCCUCGCCGCUUACGACCUCCGCACCCGCCAACGCCUGUUUCUCUCCCUCCUACCCGACGGCGACGUCAGUUCCACCGAUCGGGCCGUCGCCAAUGCCGUGACAGUCGACUUUAGGGGAAACGCAUACGUCACCAAUUCACUGGGCAACUCUGAAGGAAACUUCAUUUGGAAAGUCAACGCUCAAGGAGAGGCGUCCAUUUUUUCCAGAUCUCCAAUUUUCAAUCAGCAUCCCGUGGACCGAAACGCACCGUUUAACAACUCCGGCCUCAACGGAAUUGCUUACGUCAGCAAGGGGUAUCUGCUGGUGGUGCAAUCCAACACAGGGAAAAUGUUUAAGGUGGAUGUGGAGGACGGGACAGCAAGAACGGUGUUGCUGAACGAGGAUUUGAGUUUAGCCGACGGGAUCGCGAUGCGAAGUGACGGCGUCGUUUUGGUGGUGACCCCGGUUGAAGCUAAGCUAUGGUUCUUGAAAAGCGAUGAUAGUUGGGGAGAGGGAGUGGUUUAUGACAAAACUGACCUUGAUGCGGAGAGGUUCCCCACUUCAGUAGCAGUGGGAAGAGAGGAUAGG
rnacentral:lncRNA from 1 species